GACGAACGCUGGCGGCGCGCUUAACACAUGCAAGUCGAACGAUGAAGCCGGAGCUUGCUCUGGUGGAUUAGUGGCGAACGGGUGAGUAACACGUGAGUAACCUGCCCUUGACUCUGGGAUAAGCGUUGGAAACGACGUCUAAUACCGGAUACGAGCUAGGACCGCAUGGUCACUAGCUGGAAAGAACUUCGGUCAAGGAUGGACUCGCGGCCUAUCAGCUAGUUGGUGAGGUAACGGCUCACCAAGGCGACGACGGGUAGCCGGCCUGAGAGGGUGACCGGCCACACUGGGGCUGAGACACGGCCCAGACUCCUACGGGAGGCAGCAGUGGGGAAUAUUGCACAAUGGGCGCAAGCCUGAUGCAGCAACGCCGCGUGAGGGACGACGGCCUUCGGGUUGUAAACCUCUUUUAGCAGGGAAGAAGCGCAAGUGACGGUACCUGCAGAAAAAGCACCGGCUAACUACGUGCCAGCAGCCGCCGUAAAAC
rnacentral:rRNA from 1 species